GAAAGUUCAUAUGAGUACGGCUUAUCACCCGCAGACAGACGGUCAAUCAGAGAGGACUAUUCAGACCUUAGAGGAUAUGCUUAGGGCUUGCGUCUUAGAUUGGGAAGGUAGUUGGUUGAAGUAUCUACCUCUAGCCGAGUUUGCCUACAACAACAGCUAUCAUUCGAGUAUUGGGAUGGCACCAUAUGAGGCUCUAUAUGGUAGGCCUUGUCGCACACCACUUUGUUGGACAGAAGUGGGGGAGCGGCGUGAGAUAGAACCAGCCAUGGUUCAAGAGACGGUAGAGCAAGUUGAGAUGCUCAAGGUUCGGCUUAAAGAAGCCCAUGACCGUCAGAAGAGUUAUGCAGAUAAGCGGCGUAAGGAUUUGGAGUUCCAGGUUGGCGACCUUGUAUACCUAAAAAUGAGGACAUUUCAAGGAGGAUCUAAGACUCGGAAGCUGAAGAAGCUUAAACCAAGAUAUAUGGGACCAUACCCGAUUUUGGAGCGAAUUGGAGCAGUUGCUUACCGAUUGGAUUUAUCGGAAGAGUUAUCAGACUUCCAUGACGUGUUUCAUGUUUCAGUUUUAAGGAAAGCCGUGAGAGAACCGGAGCUCAUUUUGCAACAGCCGCCCAGUGACCUUGAUAGAAAUUUGCGUGCGCCGUGUCAGCCAGUGGAGAUAUUGGAUCGCCAAGUGAGAGCAGAUAAUGGUAUGAUGACCAUGUUGGUCAAAGUUCGUUGGGAGAGAGAUGGGAUUCUGGAGGAGACCUGGGAGUCUGAGCCGCAGAUGAUGAUUGAUUAUCCAGAACUUUUUCGGGAUGAUGUUGGGCAGUAAGUUCUUGACUCGAAUUCGGGACGAAUUCCUUAUUAGUGGGGGAGAAUUGUCACGANNNNNNNNNNNNNNNNNNNNNNNNNNNNNNNNNNNNNNNNNNNNNNNNNNNNNNNNNNNNNNNNNNNNNNNNNNNNNAAGAAACAAGUACAAGAUUCAAUAACUGUAAUGACCCAAAUUCUGACCCAAACCCAAGUCUACAUAUUCAAACCUGCAGAGGUCCAAGCCCAAUCAGAUUAGCCCAAGGUAGUGGCUAUAAAAACUCUUUUUCACUUUGUUUUCUCUACCAAACCAUCCAAGAAAAUCAUAAGUUAGAGAGAAAGAGUUAUGAGAAAGGGGAACAUUUGCAGAGGCUGAACCAUCAUCGGAGUUCGCCGGAGGCUCCGCACGCCGUGACCAAGCUGAGCUCAUCACCACCGAUCGUCAGCCUUCAUCGGAGUUCGCCGGAGGCUCCGCACGCCGUGACCAAGCUGAGCUCAUCACCACCGAUCGUCAGCCUUGGUUUGACCGGUUUAAAUUGAUUUCGGUUCGGUUAGGGUAAACCGGUCGGUUAAGUCAAAUUGAUUUCUGGUCAAAGGUUGACCGGAUUGACCUUUGACCAGCAAGUUGACUUUUUCAUAAACCUUGACCAGACCCGUUUUAAACCGUUCGAAAGGCGUUCUGACUCGAUUUUUCGCCCUGAUUUCAGAUUUGGAGUCGAUUUGAGCAUCUGGAGUUCAUAGAUACCACGUCUUCUUGUUGCUAAGGUGAGGGCUUCUCCGUUUAAAUCCCGAGCUAGUUGAGUACUACCAUUAUGGAAAGUUUAGUUUCAAAACAUGAUCCGUCUCUCUGAAUCGAGUCUGUUUGAGAGUCUUGCUUGUUCAUUAUUGAUAUUGAUUGUUAAACCGGAAAUAGGAUAAUAGAGGAUUCAACGGUUGAUUGAGAUGAUUGAUGUUAAGAACUGUUAAAUAUAUAUAUAUACAUGUAUAUAUGCUAGUCCAUGUGUUGAGAUUACGGGGUGCAGAGGUGAUUGCACUAGGCCGCAUGUUUGAGAGAUCGCGGGGUACGGAGAUAUCUGUACUAGGCCGUGUGUUUAGCGGGGUACAGAGACGUUUGUACUAGGCCGUUUUGUUUGAGAGAUCGCAGGGUACAGAGAUAUCUGUACUAGGCGGUGUGUUUAGCGGGGUACAGAGACGUUUGUACUAGGCCGCUUGUUUGUGGAGAUUGCGGGGGUACAAAGUGGACUACUGUACUUACGACGCUUGUAGAGAGACGUUUGUACUAGGCGAUGAUGCGGUAUGCUAUCAUCGCAUUGGUUGUAGCAUCUCUAGUCCACUAGACAUAUGUUGAAUGUUUUGUGUGGUGUAAUAGACGCCGUGUUUGUUUCAUGCUAGAGCUAGGCCUACAUUUUAGUAGUGCUAUGAACUCAGUCAGUGGUUUGCGGUUUAGCAUCCCCAUACCUCACUGGGCGAUUCUCUUGUCGCUCCUCCUUCUUUCCCCUUUCAGGUGAUACCGAUGAGCAGGAGUGAUUAUACCAGACCGGUGCUUUUGGGCUUUUACUACUAUCGAGCUUUGGACUUCUAUCACUCUUAUCGUUUAAUCGCUUUUGGGCCUUUGGGCUCAUAUCUAUCGUUUAUGUUAUCUCGUAUUUUGGACUUUCGGUUUAUGUCGUACUUUAUACUUCGGAUGUUAUCGCUACUGGGCCUUUAGGCCUUGUGGUAUCACAUUGACUUUUAUAUUAUGAUAUGUAGAUUAUUAUUAUUAUUUUGGUUGUAUUAUAUUAUUAUUAUUUUAUUUUCGCGUUUAUAUUAUUUCGAGAAAACUGGGUGUCACAUUUUUGGUAUCAGAGCUAUUUAUUUAUCCUAAUAUUUUGUUAUGUAAAUCGGGGUGUCACAAUUUUUGGUAUCAGAGCCAGGUUCCGUCCCGGCUCCGACCCGGCAUGGCGAUUUUGGAGACCUGGUUUUAUUCGGUUUUAAUGGUUUUAGACGAUUUCAAAAUAUUUUCGGGGAUUUGGGAAUUUUGAAAAUGAAAAUAAAUAGCACAUUUCCGUUCGAUAUAACUCCUCUUUAAAUGUUGGUAUCCAGAGUUCAGCAGAAGUUAACUUUUUCGCUUUCUUUUCAGAUGCCGCCUAGGAAGAGAGUUGUUCGUACACAGACCGUCAGAGAUGCUAGAGAGGUGGAGGCUGAGGACGAGCAUGGCCAGCCCGCAGUUCCGCAGCAGGCGGCUCUGCCCAUGCACCGUGGCGAGCUGAUAAAUGAUGAUUUUCUUUACGCGUUCAACAAGAAGUAUUUUCCGAGAGAAGCUUUGCAUGAGAAGAAGAAUGACUUCGAGCAUUUGAGGCAAGGAGCAAAGUCUGUGAGGGAGUAUGAGCGGGAGUUUAACCAACUCCGCAGAUUUGUGGGUAACACCAUUGAUGAGGAGGAUCUGAUCAGGAGGUUCUUAGAUGGGAUGCGAGUAGAGCUUCGUGGUAGAUGCAGUGUGGUUACCUACACCAGUUUGGAGGAUCUGGUAGAGAAGGCGGCUGUGCAGGAGAAAUGUAUGGUAGAGGAGCAGAAGUUCUCCAAAGCAGUUCAGCCUAAGGCCGGAGGGACUUCAGGGUCACAAAAGAGGACUUGGGAACAGACGGAGCACCCCAUUGUGGGUGUUGUCGUCGCCAGCAUUUUGGAGAAUGCCCCCAGUGCUUUAACUGUGGUCUGUUUGGGCAUAUCUCAAAGAAUUGUAGGAAGCCGCCACGUACUCAGGUUGCAGCGGCAGUAGCACCAGCAGCGGCAGCGAGGAACUGUUACGGCUGCAACAAGCCAGGUCACAUUUAAAGAGAUUGUCUGAGGAGGGGCAAUGCAGCGCUUCCACCACCACCGAAGCGUCCAGCCAUCGCUCCACGUGUGUUUGCGGUUGGAGAUCCCCAUGGAGCUGAGCCGAUAGCGUGUAUGUGACUUUUUCAUACUUAUUGUGUUUGAAUAUUUUGGUGUGUGGUUAUCAUGUGUAGUUAGUAAAAAUCUCGUGUAGGAUCUAUUUCGGUUGGAGGAGAGUCAACUUAUACCUUAUUCGACAUGGGAUCAUCUCAUAGUUUUGUGAGUCCGCGCUUAGUCCAAUCUUGGUCUUUUCGGGGUGUCUUCGAACCGAAGGCUAAGCAGAUUCAGACUGCCGGCACNNNNNNNNNNNNNNNNNNNNNNNNNNNNNNNNNNNNNNNNNNNNNNNNNNNNNNNNNNNNNNNNNNNNNNNNNNNNNNNNNNNNNNNNNNNNNNNNNNNNNNNNNNNNNNNNNNNNNNNNNNNNNNNNNAACCAACAAACUACAAAGAAAAACAACUGAUCAUACCAAGAAGAUGCAUAAUCUAAGACAUGCAUAACCAAUAACAGAACAACCGCUUCCCUUUCGAUUGGAGGAGAGGAACCGAGAGAGAGCUCCGUCGCCUCGAGGAGAACCAGCAACAGAGAGGUCGCCGAUGGGAGCGACCGAACGAGACGUCGCCGAUGCAAUCCACCGAACGAGACGGCGCCGACGAGAGCCACCGAAGGAGAACCGAAUCGCCUUUCGCCGAGAGAGAUUUCGAGAGAGCUUUCGAGAGAGAGAGAGAGAGAGAGAGAGAGACAACGCGUUCGUAACCGAAGAGAGAGCGUCUCUACGCUUGACGCGUGUCAACGAAGAGGCGGCCCUUCUACGCCUUACGGAAGAGGCGAGUCUAUGCUUCCCUUAUUUUUUUUAUUAAUUUUUAUAAAAUUUUACCUUAAGAGGCGUCAUAAACCCCUGCGUUAAUGAUGGUCUUAGGCCCUUCGGCAAAAGUAAUUUUACACAUAAUAAUUAAUUAAUCUUAAGAUUAUGGGCCCUUGCUGUAAAAAUAAAAUAAAAAUUAUGGGCCCUUUUUGUUAUUGAAUUUAUUGGAUUUUAGGGCGGGCCCCGGGCGACUGCAACGUGAGCACUUGGAUAAGUGUGUGAUCGUUUUCAUAGAUGACAUCUUGGUUUAUUCUUGGAGUAUAGAAGAGCAUGCUGAACAUUUGCGGAUUGUGUUGGGUAAGCUUCGGGAACAUCAGUUAUUUGCCAAGCUGAGUAAGUGUAGCUUUUGGCAGAAGAAAAUUGGAUUUUUGGGUCACGUGGUUUCAGAAGCAGGAGUUGCCGUAGAUCAGGAGAAGAUUAGCGAUUUUUGGGUCACGUGGUUUCAGAAGCAGGAGUUGCCGUAGAUCAGGAGAAGAUUAGCGUCAUUUCAGAGUUGCCGACACCUAAGAAUGCAACAGAGAUCCACAGUUUUCUCGGUUUGGCAGGAUACUACAGAAAGUAUGUCAACAAUUUUGCUAGCAUUGCAAAGCCAAUGACACGGCUAACAGGAAAAGACACCGAGUUUGAUUGGACAGAGGAAUGUUCGGGGAGUUUCACUGAGUUGAAGCGACAACUGACCCAUGCGCCAGUUUUGGUACUCCCGAGGCCAGGGAUACCAUAUGAUGUUUACACUGAUGCGUCAGGCACCGGAUUGGGAUGUGUACUGAUGCAGGAAGGUCAGGUCAUUGCCUAUGCAUCACGACAGUUGAGGCCUCAUGAGGCCAAUUAUCCUACUCAUGAUUUGGAGUUGGCAGCAGUUGUAUUUGCAUUAAAGAUCUGGAGGUCAUACUUGUAUGGAGAGAAGGUGAAGAUUUUCACGGACCACCAGAGUCUGAAGUAUUAUCCUACUCAUGAUUUGGAGUUGGCAGCAGUUGGAUUUGCAUUAAAGAUCUGGAGGUCAUACUUGUAUGGAGAGAAGGGGAAGAUUUUCACGGACCACCAGAGUCUGAAGUACAUAUUUACGCAAACGGACUUGAAUUUGAGGCAGCAUAGAUGGAUGGAGUUGUUAGCAGACUACAAUUUGGAGAUCACAUAUCACCCGGGAAAAGCCAAUCAUGUGGUGGAUGCCUUGAGUAGGCGCAGAAGCGAUAUAUCGGGAACCAAAGAAGUCCAGGAGCUUAUUGGGACACUUGCUAGUCUAAGAUUAUGUGCAGUUACUGUAGAGGGAGAGUCAGUUGGCGCUGAGGCUGUAGGGCGGGCAGACUUACUAUGGAGGAUACGCAAAGCUCAGGAUGGUGAUGAAGCUUUGCGUAAGCAGAUCGAGAUGGAGAGUAUUGGUUUUCAUACAGCCACGAGCGAGAUGUUCAUGUAUCGAAACAGGAUUUGUGUGCCCAAUGAUGAGUUGUUAAGAAAGGAGAUAUUACGGCAAGCACACCACUCGAGUUUCUCUAUUCAUCCAGGAAAUACCAAGAUGUAUAGGGAUUUGAAGCGAUAUUACCAUUGGCCUGGUAUGAAGAGAGAUGUUGCUUCAAUUGUAUCGCAAUGUCAGACGUGUCAGAUGGUUAAGGCCGAGCAUCAGGUUCCUAGCGGGUUAUUACAAAACCUGCCAUUACCGGAGUAGAAAUGGGACAUGGUAACUAUGGACUUUGUGACGGGUUUGCCGACUACAUCAGGAGGGAAGAAUGCCAUAUGGGUAGUCGUGGAUAGACUUACUAAGUCAGCCCAUUUUCUAGCAGUUAAGAAGACAGACAGAGCUGAUCAGCUAGCACAGACUUACAUCAGCGAGAUUGUAAGAUUGCAUGGAGUUCCGGUCAGCAUUGUAUCAGAUCGGGAUACAAAGUUCACGUCUGAGUUUUGGAGAGCCUUCCAGAAGGCGCUUGGGACGAAAGUUCAUAUGAGUACGGCUUAUCACCCGCAAACAGAUGGUCAGUCAGAGAGGACUAUUCAGACUUUGGAGGAUAUGCUCAGAGCUUGUGUUUUAGAUUGGGAAGGUAGUUGGGUGAAGUAUCUACCUCUAGCCGAGUUUGCCUACAACAACAGCUAUCAUUCGAGUAUUGGGAUGACACCAUAUGAGGCUCUAUAUGGUAGGCCUUGUCGCACACCACUUUGUUGGACGGAAGUGGGAGAGCGACGUGAGAUAGAACCAGCCAUGGUUCAAGAGACAGUCGAACAGGUUGAGAUGCUCAAGAUGCGGCUUAAGGAAGCCCAUGACCGUCAGAAGAGUUAUGCAGAUAAACGGCGAAGAGAUUUGGAGUUUCAGGUUGGCGACCUGGUAUACCUGAAAAUGAGGACAUUUCAGGGAGGAUCUAAGACUCGGAAGCUAAAGAAGCUUAAACCGAGAUAUAUGAGACCAUAUCCUAUUU
rnacentral:lncRNA from 1 species